rnacentral:rRNA from 1 species
AACGCAUUAAGUAUCCCGCCUGGGGAGUACGGUCGCAAGACUGAAACUCAAAGGAAUUGACGGGGACCCGCACAAGCAGCGGAGCAUGUGGUUUAAUUCGAAGCAACGCGAAGAACCUUACCAAGGCUUGACAUCCCUUGACAGCCGUAGAGAUAUGGAUUCCCUUCGGGGCAAGGAGACAGGUGGUGCAUGGUUGUCGUCAGCUCGUGUCGUGAGAUGUUGGGUUAAGUCCCGCAACGAGCGCAACCCUUAUCAUUAGUUGCCAGCACGUAAAGGUGGGAACUCUAAUGAGACUGCCGGGGAUAACUCGGAGGAAGGUGGGGACGACGUCAAAUCAUCAUGCCCCUUAUGUCUUGGGCUACACACGUGCUACAAUGGCCGGUACAAAGAGCAGCGAAGCCGUAAGGCGGAGCGAAUCUCAAAAAACCGGUCCCA